rnacentral:rRNA from 1 species
UACGUAGGGUGCAAGCGUUAAUCGGAAUUACUGGGCGUAAAGGGCGCGUAGGCGGUUCGUUAAGUCCUGUGUGAAAUCCCCCGGCUCAACUGGGGAACUGCACAGGAAACUAGCGGGCUUGAGUUCGGGAGAGGGAAGCGGAAUUCCGGGUGUAGCGGUGAAAUGCGUAGAUAUCCGGAGGAACACCGGUGGCGAAGGCGGCUUCCUGGACCGACACUGACGCUGAGGCGCGAAAGCUAGGGGAGCAAACGGG